AGGAAAUAAAAGAAGAAAUUAAAAAGUACAUGGAAAUAAAUGAAAAUGAAAACACAACGGUCGAAAACCUUUGGGAUGCAGCAAAAGUGGUUCCAAGAGGAAAGUUUAUAACAAUACAGGUCUACCUCAAGAAAUAAGAAAAAUCUCAAAUAAACAGUCUAAAAUUACACCUAAAGGAGCUAGAAAAAGAAG